ACCCCUGGGGAGAAACGUUCCCCCCCUUUUCUGGUUUACAACACCGGGGUGUGGGCGAC
rnacentral:tRNA from 1 species